GAUGAACGCUGGCGGCGUGCCUAAUACAUGCAAGUCGAGCGAACAGACGAGGAGCUUGCUCCUCUGACGUUAGCGGCGGACGGGUGAGUAACACGUGGAUAACCUACCUAUAAGACUGGGAUAACUUCGGGAAACCGGAGCUAAUACCGGAUAACAUGUUGAACCGCAUGGUUCAACAGUGAAAGACGGUCUUGCUGUCACUUAUAGAUGGAUCCGCGCCGCAUUAGAUAGUUGGUAAGGUAACGGCUUACCAAGGCAACGAUGCGUAGCCGACGUGAGAGGGUGAUCGGCCACACUGGAACUGAGACACGGUCCAGACUCCUACGGGAGGCAGCAGUAGGGAAUCGUCCGCAAUGGGCGAAAGCCUGACGGAGCAACGCCGCGUGAGUGAAGAAGGUCUUCGGAUCGUAAAACUCUGUUAUUAGGGAAGAACAAAUGUGUAAGUAACUAUGCACGUCUUGACGGUACCUAAUCAGAAAGCCACGGCUAACUACGUG
rnacentral:rRNA from 1 species